GUUCAGAAAAAAAAUCGUCGACACUACAUCGGGAUCUGCGUUCCUUAAAACAAGUGAAUUCAUCUACCAUUUUUUUGGGAAUAUGUCGAUAUUAUUUUGAAUGCAAUACUUAUAACCAAUAAUUGCAGUAAUCUACUGGACAGAGAAAAAUUAAAAACCAUCUGUGAUAUAUAGAAGCUAUAAGAUGAAAUUUAUAAUGGGGGA
rnacentral:lncRNA from 1 species